UUGCUGGGCUGGUGCCUGGAGCCGGCCCUGUAUGUUAACACCCUUUAGCCCACAUAAUCCAUCUAAAUUCAUACCGUAUCACCAAGGAAGUCUUCAUGAGGCUUCUGAGGCCAUUUUCAGGCUGAUGACUAAGUCAAACAGUACAGGCUUCUGGAGCUAAAAAGUCCAUCAUUGCCCAUCAUUAUCAGAGCUCCCAACAGUGCUACCCGCAGCUGGAACUGAAAGGUGUUAGCACAGGUGACAAAUCUAAGGAACUGUUCCAGACAGAGGGGUCAAUAGAGGAGAUUUUGGAAUAAACUGAAAAAUAAGUCACCAGGACCACCCAAGAGGUCUGAAGGAACUCAAAUACAAAAUUGCAGAACUAUGGUCAGAGCAUGUUCCAGAAUAUGUGGAAAAGUUGCUGACACUGGAGAGAUUUGUUGGGACGUGCACCAAAUCUGAAACCUUGACCACUUCUGCAGCAGGACCUUCAACAGAAGAGGAAAUGGAGGGAAGGCAUAAGAAAGGUUCUUGAACCAGGGGACAAGGAAAGCAUUGACCCAAGAGUGCUGUCCCAUCCCCGCCUUGGAGCAGUAUCGUGGACACUUCUUGUUCUGCUCUCUCUCUAUCCUCUUGGACCCUACUGUUGUUGCUACAAAGUUGAAGGAUCAUGUGGAGUAAGUACUUUCAUUUAGAAUUUUAUUUAAAUGUACAAACAUGUCAAAGUCAAUGACAAAACAUUUGUUGGAAUAUUCUGUUUUCUGCACAUCUUGUAUUUAAUUUAUUUAGCUUCUUCAUGUGAAGAACAAACUACAUUAUAAAAAGAUGGCAUCUUCUAUAGGAGUCCACUUUUCUUCUGUAGCUUGUGUUAAACAUUUAAGGCUGAAGUGUUUGAUGUUCACGGAACAAAUUA